CAUGCAUGCGCCUACUGGCACUGAGCCUCUUUUGUUUAAACUAGCAUAAAUAUCAACUUAGAGAAACCGUGAGCAGCCUUCCCCCGAUCAUGCUUGGAGUACUGCUGCCUUGUCGUCCUCCCCUGAAACUUGCCCGUGAUGAUUUGUUUUCCGGUACUGAUGAUGGGGUUCUAGUGGCGCUCACGCUAAGAAGACUUCGGUUGAACGUGAGUAUAACGCUGAUGUGGAUUGCUUAGCAGCUAUAGCUGAAGUGGAAUGUUCUACUCCCAUUAGUGAUGAAACAUUAGCACUUGCACGAUGGAUUCAUCACAAGACAGGACAUGCAGGCUCUGCUGCUAUGCACAGAUUAUAUUAUAGACUCCUCUGCUGUGGACACCUGCAAUGAGUAAUGCGUGGACACCUGGAACUCAACUAGGACUGCCAAUCCACUACAACAUUACCAGAGCUGAGUGGCAGUAUGCAUGGAAGAACCUUACUGUACCACGCUCCCAAGAUUCUUUCCAGCGUCGUGCUAACCAACCCUGUUCUAUUGCAAAUGUAACAGUAUCAGCAAAUAGCAAUAUGACUGUAUGGAAAGGAAAUAAGGAAAACCGAUACCGCAUGGUAGUUUCUAGCUCCCCACCUAUUAAUUUUAUUUUUAAAACCAAAGUUAAUGUUACUUGUUGUAGUGCGAAUAUUUCCACUCAUUCAAAUACUUAUACUAGUUUUGUAGCUAGCAUUUUACAGACUGUGCAAUACUGUAAUAAUUCAAAACAUAAUCUGAAUUGAACUGUUAACAGUUCUCAUUUUAUUCUUUGUACUAACACCACUCCAAUCAUAAAUAAGACAUCUUGGGUAGAUUAUAUAUGGGUCUCAGUAAAACAACCCCUGAAGAGUGCCACCCCUCAGAUAGUGCGUAUCCCUAGGACCUGUACCAAUAUCUCUGUUGCUGCACCCCAGAGAGUAAUACAUUUUAACAUUUCUUUUCCCACCUUACCUAAAUUCAACCAUAAAUGCCGUGCUUGGUAUGACACUCUUUUAGGUGGCCUUGGCUCUAGAUUAGGUGUAGAUAAUUCUAUUGAUUUAGAAGCUUUAGCGCAUCGCCUUAAAAAUACUGGAUCAGAUGUAUCCAAAGCUGUGACCUUAAAUGCUAAAUGGUUACCCACUACUAUUAUUCCCCAUGAGCAAACGUUAGCUUAUCAGAAACAGAUGUUGCAUAUCUUUACUGACUCUAGUAUUAAGCAAUAUUGGAUUGAGACUAAUACUACUGCUUUAUUCAGUUGGACUAAAUGUUCCUUGCAAUUAUUGUACACUUUAAUACAAAAAGAAAAUGCACAACGUCUCCUUACGCAAAGUU